CUUACAGAGUAAUGCUGAGUCGUUUUCUACAAUUAACUGAUAAGAAUGUAGAAAAUUAAGCUUAAAUGCAAAACAUUAUCAAUUGGAGUGGAUUGUAGUCUGGUUAAUGACACUCUGAAGCCUUCAAGAAUUGUUAGAAACACAUUAGAUUUCAAAUAUUAGGCAAAAUAUUCCAUGAAGGUCGACAGCUAUGAGAUUAAAACAGAAUACAUACAAAUUAUUUGUUGUUAAAGGAGUUAAAUGUACUUACAGUUAACUUUCAGUCUGGUUCCUCCACCGAACGUGUACCACAGUGAUACAAACUCAUUGAGCCGCCGUACAAAAACCUCUCACUGUAGAGAGACACGGCUCUCUGACUUUGACACAAACAAACUCAGCAAACACAUUCCCAGUUUACCCAGUUUAUCUAAUAACUGGUUAAAGUGUCUAAAACAUAAACUAUGAAUAUGUAUUUAAUCUUUUUUGUGAAAUAAGCUAUAUUAAUUCAUGUUAACAUUAAAACAAUGAAAUAAGAUAUUUCUAAAAAAAAACCUCUCCAAUAAGUAUUGACAAAUAUAAAUAAAGAACAUAAACAUAUGUUUAUUGUAGAUUACGACAAAUGAGAAAUAAUAAUUUUGUUUAAUUGUGUCCCACAGUGAUGUUGAUCUGUGUGGUAGUGAAUUAGGGGGAAUCCACUAAAUAUUCUGGAAGAAAAUGUGUCCAUCAAACUGAAAGCAAAGCCUCAUACAAAUGAGCACUGACACAUUCCUAAUCAAUACUCUGAUAAAGUGAUUGAUCCAUUGAUAAACAGCAUCAUGAGAGGAAUCCAAGUCCCUGUUGGAGUCAGUCAGAGCAUUUCCAUAGAGAGCCACUUUGCAUCAGCAGCACCAUGCUCCAGUGCUCUGGGAGAGUUUAUAGUCCUGAGAGUUGAACACUGGAUGACUGACAGCUGUCCUUCAUGACAACAGAAGACACAGAAAUCCUCCUCAUCAAAAACAUGACUUUGAUCUCCGUCCUCAUCUGGACUCUCCUCUGCUGCUGCUUCACAGAGUCCAGAGGCCAGGUCACAGUAACUGGUGACAUGGCUCUGUGUUUUACGACAGCUCUUGGUAGAAUGUUUGGACCAAGGCUGAUUACAAACACUCACACAAUACACACACACACACACACACAAAUACACACACACACACACACACACACACACACACACACACACACACACACACACACACACACACACACACACAGGAAAUCCUAGUGCUUAGGUCAGCUUUAACUUUGGUUGGAUGACUUUAACAUAACAUAAUUUCAACACAGACUUAAAAGUUGUCUGGGUCCCUUAUCUUACACACACACACUCUGUAUACUAUAAUGUCUUGUAUCGACCUCUAUCGCUGCCUAUUGCCCAGGUCGUCAUUGUAAAUGAGAAUUUGUUCUCAGGGAACUUGAUCAGUACACAGUGUUAUUUCAGUAAAGGUCUUUAUAAAAUUUAACACACUUCCUAUUGUACAUAAACAUUUUCAUAUUUCUCAAAGCAAGAUAUUGAAAAAAAAAUAUUGUUCUAGUAUCACUAAUGAGACUCCCAGGGUGUUCUAUGGUAUUAAUGAAGCAUUAGCCUCAUAUUAUGGCCUUAGAUUUCGUGUAUAAAUAUAUAUACACUGUAAACACAGUGCCACGACCUCCUCCUGUGACAUGUACAAUGUUCCAUUAAUCACAUUUGUAUAUAAAAAGCUGUAUAUAGUCCAUAUAUGACUCUUAUUCUUAGUUUUCUGUUUCUAUUGUAUGUUGUAUUCUUCUAUUUUAUUUAUUUAUCUAUUGUGUUGUGACUCUGGAGCUCCUGUGAUAAGUGAAAUUCCCCAGUGUGGAAUCAGUAAGUAACUCAGCAAGUAAGUCUAUCUUAUCCAUUAUUUUAUCUCAUGGACUCGAUCCCUGGUAAGGAGAGGGAGGAAGGUAAGAAGAUAACAGGAUUGAUGGUUGUGUGGCUGUAGAGAGACACAACUGUCAAAUCAAGUGUCAGCAGAAUUGACCAUUUGGAGUUGUAAUUUACAAAGACAUCAAGAGAUUCAGUGUGUGAGAGAAGAAGAAGUACUUAACUUGUAGGUUGCUGGGUUUAACAGUUACAGUGUUUGGGGUACACCAGAAUUAGCAUAAGUUUUUAAAUGCAGGUCAACUUAUAAAAAGGCAAUUGACUCCUCUCUAUUGCCAUUAGAUGAAUUUGCCUUUCCGUUCGUUUUCUAAUGUGUCACAUUCAAUAUCACAGACGCGCUGGAAAACAGAUAGUAAACAGUAGAAGCAGCAUUUGUUAUUUGCCUUGGGAUUCAAGCAAUGCUUCUUUCACUCAGCAUUUCUGAUAUAUUGUUGUGUCUCUCACAGUCUUGCAAAACCGGACAUUUCUUCACAGAGCUGUGUCAGCACUGGGUGAAGUUAUAUCCUCUUGCCCUCGAGGCAGGAGAAGCUUUCUCGCCUCGCUGUAUUGUUAGUGUUGUAUCUUGCAGGAAGAAUGUCAGAAAAGGAGCAAAAAUUAUCAUGUCUAUCUGGGUGUCCAGCAGAUAAAUACCCGGCAAAUGUAUUAUUCUAGGGAUUUAUGUGGCUGAAUAUACCCAGCAUAGCCUAAAGUUGAGAGGCAAGGGAAAACAGCUUUGUCCAACGUGAAAAAUAACCUGCUAACAGCUGUAAUGUUGACCACAUGUUACUCUGGAUAUUAUUUGUUUACAAUCAGAAAUGUAAGAAUCAUAGUUUGUGGAAUGCAGUUGCAAUGCAAUUUUAAAUACAUUUCAGUAUGUACUGACAGAAAAAAUUAGAUACGAGGACAGAGGUGCAGAGAGGUCCAACUAGGAGAGACAAUUUAGUCUUGCUGCAUACCCUCCUGUGUCUGCCCGCCAUGAGUCUGUGCAAGAAGCCAUGGCAGGCACAGUAUAAUGGUGCCCCUGUUGCCAUUUGAGACUUGAGAGUGGCAGGGGGAGUGGGCAGGGGUAGCUGCUGGGCAGGAAGCAGAGGAAGCCUAAGGAAACACCAAUAUCCUCUUACAAUUGAAUUGCCAGUCCCAGCUUUGAUCGCUUUGAGAGGGUUAUUCAUUCUGGGCCACUUUUCACCUGUCGUCCUUUGCCCUACCAGGCCACCCUCCUAUACCUCUUCCCACUCACAUCUCAUCCCACUGCCAUAAUGUUAACUAGUGAUGGCACACGUGCUGUGACGCCUUCAUUGCUUGUGACAUCCAUAUCAGAGGGUAACUAUUCCAUAUCCAUAUAUUCUCAUGUGAAGUAAAUUUUGAUAUUGCGGCUGUACGCUGGCUGCCUUAAAUCUUCGUUGUGGCAGCACAGAGAAAAAAGUACGAUCUGAAAUUUACUGUAAGCUGUUAGUUGAACAAACUGAACAAAACUCAAGAGAAGCAGCACAAUUAGAGAGUAUUUAAAUCUGUGCUAAACAAGAGUUUUGUGCUAAAGGAAUAAACGCCUGUCCCAAAUAGACACCUUUAUGGUGACAUCACAGUUUCUCCAUGUAAAUAAGUGACUGAAACUGAAAGGUCAUUCAACCAGUUUCUGAAACACGGUGCAGCAGUGAUCUUCCAGUCUUUGAGAAAAUGUGUUUUUCUGCCAGUACCAUGCCCUCUUUCAACCAACCACAAAUUUGAAUAACUGCAACAGUGCAUCAUUAUACAGAGAGAAACAGAGGGGGACGUUUAUGUAACAUAACCUUAGAGUAAUGGAACAUUGUCAGGCAACACAGCAUUGAUUUUCCUUUCCCAAACCUUAAUACAGUGGACAGGUUCAGAAUCCUUAGAAAAGAAAUACCUAAGGAAGGAAAAGCGAGUCAGGAAAGCAGGAGGAGGACAGUGCAGAGUUAAGUCUGGAGGAGAAUAAAUUAGAAGUUGCUCGUAAUCACACAGCAGGAAUGCAGUCAGUGUGCACUGUUAAACACUUCCUUAGCCUUGGCUCCACUUCACUCUCGCAGCACUCCACACAAAGCACUCUUUGUUCUGCUGCUCUUGUAAGGAAAUAUACCUACACCAUCUCCCCACCAACCCUGACUAAUUUUCUCUUUUUAUUACAUUCUCAAUCUGGCCCUUGCUGAUCAACUUUCAUUCUCAUACUUAUAAAGUAUCUUGCCCUUACCCCUCUGUGUGUCACUCUGACUGACAGCAGAGGAAGCUUAAGUUCCUAUACAGCAGACAUAACAAGCAAGCAGUCCUUCAGAGUACAAAGGUGAUGGCUGGAGUAACCCAGGUGGUUAGUUUAACCCCCUGGACAGAUGAAUUAGGAAAGGCAAAAAGGUUUAUAUAGUAUAGUUUACUUUAGUCUAUGAGUGUGUGUCAAUGUUUCUGUCUGCCUACAGUGUGAGUCAGUCAUAGGUAGGCUGUGUGACAUCUCACAUGCUGUAGUGUUACUGUGGUAUUAGGAGAGUUCAGAAGUGUGAAAGAGUCUUCUUCCUCCACCACAGAGGAUAGAGCUGCUUCUUUACUAUCCAGCUGCUGCUCAGUAUUCCCACCACACAUUCACAUACAACAUGUGUGCAUGUGAUUUGACAGGAAGAAAAGCACCACAGUAAACACUAAAAUGAAAUGAGCCAUCAUCUGCCAUAAGCACUAGGCUAGUGUCUCUUAAUGUUGUCAUGCCUGGGAUGUGUUAAGUACCAACAUUUGAAAGGGUAGUACCUAUUUAUUUUAUUUUAGCACCAUGAGCAAGCACUUGGCGAUGGCAACAAGGAAAAACUUCCUUUUAAGAGGCAGAAACCACAGACAGAUCCUAGCUCUAGGUGGGUGGCUUUCUGUCCAGUUGGGGAGAGGGAAAGAG
rnacentral:lncRNA from 15 species